CUGAGCCACACCGGGGCCAGGAGCUCCUGCCUCCCUGUGCAGAGGGGCCCUCGGCCUGCAGCCCCCCUGCCCUGCACUGCCUCCUCUGGCCCCGGCUCCUGACGGCCGGUCAGGGCUGUUCUGAAUUUCUGAAGUAAGGAUGCUCCUUCCCUCCUUGCCUGCUGCCUGUCUUUCUUUGGCG